rnacentral:rRNA from 1 species
UUUUAUGGAGAGUUUGAUCCUGGCUCAGGAUGAACGCUGGCGGCGUGCCUAAUACAUGCAAGUCGAGCGAACGGACGAGAAGCUUGCUUCUCUGAUGUUAGCGGCGGACGGGUGAGUAACACGUGGAUAACCUACCUAUAAGACUGGGAUAACUUCGGGAAACCGGAGCUAAUACCGGAUAAUAUUUUGAACCGCAUGGUUCAAAAGUGAAAGACGGUCUUGCUGUCACUUAUAGAUGGAUCCGCGCUGCAUUAGCUAGUUGGUAAGGUAACGGCUUACCAAGGCAACGAUGCAUAGCCGACCUGAGAGGGUGAUCGGCCACACUGGAACUGAGACACGGUCCAGACUCCUACGGGAGGCAGCAGUAGGGAAUCUUCCGCAAUGGGCGAAAGCCUGACGGAGCAACGCCGCGUGAGUGAUGAAGGUCUUCGGAUCGUAAAACUCUGUUAUUAGGGAAGAACAUAUGUGUAAGUAACUGUGCACAUCUUGACGGUACCUAAUCAGAAAGCCACGGCUAACUACGUGCCAGCAGCCGCGGUAAUACGUAGGUGGCAAGCGUUAUCCGGAAUUAUUGGGCGUAAAGCGCGCGUAGGCGGUUUUUUAAGUCUGAUGUGAAAGUCCACGGCUCAACCGUGGAGGGUCAUUGGAAACUGGAAAACUUGAGUGCAGAAGAGGAAAGUGGAAUUCCAUGUGUAGCGGUGAAAUGCGCAGAGAUAUGGAGGAACACCAGUGGCGAAGGCGACUUUCUGGUCUGUAACUGACGCUGAUGUGCGAAAGCGUGGGGAUCAAACAGGAUUAGAUACCCUGGUAGUCCACGCCGUAAACGAUGAGUGCUAAGUGUUAGGGGGUUUCCGCCCCUUAGUGCUGCAGCUAACGCAUUAAGCACUCCGCCUGGGGAGUACGACCGCAAGGUUGAAACUCAAAGGAAUUGACGGGGACCCGCACAAGCGGUGGAGCAUGUGGUUUAAUUCGAAGCAACGCGAAGAACCUUACCAAAUCUUGACAUCCUUUGACAACUCUAGAGAUAGAGCCUUCCCCUUCGGGGGACAAAGUGACAGGUGGUGCAUGGUUGUCGUCAGCUCGUGUCGUGAGAUGUUGGGUUAAGUCCCGCAACGAGCGCAACCCUUAAGCUUAGUUGCCAUCAUUAAGUUGGGCACUCUAAGUUGACUGCCGGUGACAAACCGGAGGAAGGUGGGGAUGACGUCAAAUCAUCAUGCCCCUUAUGAUUUGGGCUACACACGUGCUACAAUGGACAAUACAAAGGGCAGCGAAACCGCGAGGUCAAGCAAAUCCCAUAAAGUUGUUCUCAGUUCGGAUUGUAGUCUGCAACUCGACUACAUGAAGCUGGAAUCGCUAGUAAUCGUAGAUCAGCAUGCUACGGUGAAUACGUUCCCGGGUCUUGUACACACCGCCCGUCACACCACGAGAGUUUGUAACACCCGAAGCCGGUGGAGUAACCUUUUAGGAGCUAGCCGUCGAAGGUGGGACAAAUGAUUGGGGUGAAGUCGUAACAAGGUAGCCGUAUCGGAAGGUGCGGCUGGAUCACCUCCUUUCUAA